rnacentral:rRNA from 1 species
GGCCUUUUGGAGAUUUAUAUAAAAGGUUGGGCCUGCCCGGUGAUCUGAAAUGGUUUAACGGCUGCGAUUGAAACCGUACUAAGGUAGCAUAGUAAUUUGCCCUUUAAUUGGGGGAGAGAAUGAAUGGUUUGACGGUAAAAAAGCUGUUUUAAAAAUAAAAAAAGAAGUUAACUUUUAAGUGAAAAGGCUUAAGUUUUUAUAAAAGACGAGAAGACCCCGUCGAGCUUAAUUAGAAUAACUUAAGUGUAGGUUAUUUAAAAUUUUAUUGGGGCAAUAGAAAAUGAAAUGAAUCAUUUUUUUUAUUAUAAGGAUCCAGUUUUGACUGAAAAAAGCAAAAGCUACCGCGGGGAUAACAGGGUAAUUUUUUCUGAGAGUUCAUAUUUAAGAAGAAGUUUGCUACCUCGAUGUUGGAUUAGAAUUUCUUUAUGCUUGC